GACGAGCCACCCAAACGUUAUUCGGAAUUACUGGGCGUAAAGGGCUCGUAGGCGGCCAACUAAGUCAGACGUGAAAUCCCUCGGCUUAACCGGGGAACUGCGUCUGAUACUGGAUGGCUUGAGUUUGGGAGAGGGAUGCGGAAUUCCAGGUGUAGCGGUGAAAUGCGUAGAUAUCUGGAGGAACACCGGUGGCGAAGGCGGGUCUCUGGGCCGAUACUGACGCUGAGGAGCGAAAGCGUGGGGAGCGAACAGG
rnacentral:rRNA from 1 species